UGAGUAGUACCUCUCACUCGCCUGCCUCUAGCUAGUAUAUACUACUGCUAUCCACAUUAUUCAAUAUAUAUAUGAUGACGCAUUGCAUUUGCAUCUCUCUCUCUCUCUCUCUCUCUCUCUUAAUGCUUGCAUUCUGGAUACACACACACACACUACUGCAUAUGAUGAUCGACUUCACUCACAGCUGACAGUUUCUUCAUUUUUGCAUGGCACAGUGCGCAAGUUCGGGUUGGAUAUCACUGUCUUUAUGAUAUCUUCAAUGUAAUCUCAAGAUACACCCCUGAGUCGGCACAAGAGAAGACCAAUGAGAGGCAACGGAUACUUCAGUGUGCAGCUCUCAUGUUGAGUGAGUCACAAAGGUUUGGCCACGUCCAGCUACUGGUAAAGAGACAGAUCCACAAAAUGAUGAGUAAAAAGAUUACUGCCAAACAGAACAAGAAAAUACACAGUUGGGGUUCCAUAGCACGCUACUGCAUAUCCCACGAAUGCAAAGAAGACGUCCUGCAUCAUUUAAGCACAUUGAUCGUUCUGUUCAACCCCGAUCAAAACAAGUAUGAGAAUUACAAAAUAGUUGGCAGAAGAAAAUUGCUAUCUCGAGCAGCUGCAGCAGCAGCAGAAGCAGCAGCAAGAGCAGCAGAAGCAGCAGCACGACCAUCGCAAGCAGCAGCAGCAGAAGCAGAAGAAGAGGAAGAGGAUGAUGAUGAUGAUGAGGAUGAAUACCCAUGGCAAUGCCAAACAAGAGCAGGACAGGAGCUCCUGAUUCUCCUCUACGACAAAAGAUUGCGUACCCAAGGCCAUCAGGAGCGGAGGACAUAGGGUCCGACUGCCUCCACCGCUUCAAGCUGAAGACGAGACCAACAAGCAGAAGAUGAUGAUUAAGAAAAAGAAUACCCACCACCCUGCAGUUCC
rnacentral:lncRNA from 1 species